rnacentral:rRNA from 1 species
GGGAUAGCCUUGCGAAAGUAAGAUUAAUACCCGGCGGUCUCGGACGGCCGCAUGACUGUCCGAGUGAAGAUUUAUCGGUAUGAGAUGGCGAUGCGUCCCAUUAGCUUGUUGGUGAGGUAACGGCUCACCAAGGCAUCGAUGGGUAGGGGUUCUGAGAGGAAGGUCCCCCACAUUGGAACUGAGACACGGUCCAAACUCCUACGGGAGGCAGCAGUGAGGAACAUUGGUCAAUGGACGAAAGUCUGAACCAGCCAAGUAGCGUGCAGGAUGACGGCCCUCUGGGUUGUAAACUGCUUUUAGUUGGGAAUAAAAAGAGGGACGUGUCCCUUAUUGUAUGUACCAUCAGAAAAAGGACCGGCUAAUUCCGUGCCAGCAGCCGCGGUAAUACGGAAGGUCCAGGCGUUAUCCGGAUUUAUUGGGUUUAAAGGGAGCGCAGGCGGCGGCGUAAGUCAGUUGUGAAAUCGUGCGGCUUAACCGUGCAAUUGCAGUUGAUACUGCGUCGCUUGAGUGCACACAGGGAUGUUGGAAUUCAUGGUGUAGCGGUGAAAUGCUUAGAUAUCAUGAAGAACUCCGAUCGCGAAGGCAUAUGUCCGGAGUGCAACUGACGCUGAGGCUCGAAAGUGUGGGUAUCAAACAGGAUUAGAUACCCUGGUAGUCCACACAGUAA